rnacentral:misc_RNA from 1 species
UAGUUACAGUUACAGAAACCACUUGUUAGUAAUCAGAAAUGGAAGGCAAGCCGAUAACUAAGAAGAUCAUCAACUCCCCUGAGACGUGUGUCGCUGACAAUCUGAGAGGAGUAGUGGCUACCUACCCCGCUUUGCAGCUGCACCCGAAGCACAGAGUCGUUACCGUUAGAAGAAAGACUGAUUCAGGAAGAGUAGCAGUCCUUGGCGGAGGCGGUUCAGGACACGAGCCUUUUGCAGGAGGUUUAGUGGGGUCCGGCAUGCUAGACGGUGCUGUCGCUGGCGGAGUCUUCGCCUCUCCACCCACCGGCCAUGUAUUGUACGGAAUAGCUCAACUUUACAAGUAUAACUCUGGAGGAGUCAUCGUGAUAAUUGGAAACUACACCGGCGACAGAUUGAACUUCGGUAAAGCUAUCGAGAAAGCGAAGAUCUCGGGGAUCAAGGUUGAAGGUCUCAUAGUCGGUGAAGAUGUGGCUUCUAGUAAAAACAAAACUGGCGGACGCAGUAUGUGUGGAGAAGUGUUCUUCUACAAGUUAUGCGGAGCUAUGGCUGAUAAAGGUUUCGAUUUGAAAACCAUGAAGGACAUUGCUGCUGAAGCCAACAAGUACAUGGCCACUCUUGGAGUCUGUUUGAGUGCUUGUUCUUUGCCAGGUCAGCCCCCGUUAUUUGAGAUAGCUCGCGAUGAAAUGGAACUGGGUGCUGGAGUCCACGGCGAGGCUGGCAUUGAGAAGCUUAAGAUGGGAACGGCUAAGGAAGUAGUUCAGAUGAUACUGGAUAAGGUAGUUGCUCACCUGAAAUUGACAGCAGGCAACAGAGUGGCUGUGAUGAUCGAUAACUUAGGAGGCACUUCCUUCCUCGAGAUGAACAUUAUUGCUGCUGAGACUAAAGACUAUCUAGAAUCUAAACAAAUAACAGUGGAACGCAUAUUCUCGGGACACAUGAAGACAUCUCUAGAGAUGCACGGCUUCCAAAUAUGUCUGCUUCAUCUGAACAAGCAGCAUGGGGACUUAUGGCUGGAGUUGUUGGAUGCCCCAACCAAUGCUGUGGGCUGGUGUGGUGGCGCGCAGUCUGUGAAGACAGAGGGUGGUCACGGUGACGAUGAAACGCUGCUUCAGACUCACAGUCGAAAGUUGACGACGGGCCCAACUCUGUCAGCCAAAGAACAAGAGAUACUCCGCGGAAGUUUACAGGCGGCGGCUGAUGAGCUGGUGAAGAAUGAGGGCUUGUUGAACAGGCUGGACUCCGGCUGCGGGGACGGUGACUGUGGCAAUACGCUGAAGAAGUUUGGAUUAGCCAUCCAGUCGUACUUAAAGACAGCAUCAGCGGAGUAUCUCUCGAAUGUUUUGUGGGACCUGUCUGAGAUGGCUGAGACGGACAUGGGAGGAACAUCUGGGGGGAUCUACAGCCUGGGGUUGUCAGCUGCCUCGCAGACCGUUGCCAACUGGACACACUAUACCCAGCAGCGCAGGUUUUCAAACAGAACCUGAGUGGCGACUUCAAGGUGUUGCUGAAGAAGACAGUUGAAGCGGCAGAGAAAGGGGCAAAGGCUACAGCCAAUAUGACUGCUAAGGCCGGCAGAGCAUCGUACGUGGCGAGUGGAUACACGCAGGAUGAAGAUGCGGGUGCGCGCGCAGCCGUUAUCUGGCUGCAAGCUAUACUCAACUAUAUUCACAAUAAAUAUUAGAACCAUAUUUGUA